rnacentral:rRNA from 1 species
AACGUAGGAGCCAAGCGUUAUCCGAAUUUACUGGGCGUAAAGCGCGUGCAGGCGGCUCGAUAAGUUGGCUGUGAAAUCGCCUGGCUCAACCGGGCGAGGCCGGUCAAGACUGUCGGGCUAGAGGACAGGCGAGGGAGGUGGAAUUCCCGGUGUAGUGGUGAAAUGCGUAGAGAUCGGGAGGAACACCAGUGGCGAAAGCGGCCUCCUGGACUGUACCUGACGCUCAGAUGCGAAAGCUAGGGGAGCGAACGGGAUUAGAAACCCCCGUAGUCC